rnacentral:lncRNA from 1 species
GGCCCCGCCCACGUCAUGGCGCCUGAGGAGAACGCGGGUACCAAACUCUUGCUGCAGAGUUUCGAGCGCCGCUUCCUAGCGGCGCGCACACUGCGCUCCUUCCCCUGGCAGGUGGGCGGCGGGGCGAGCGGAGAGGCCUGCGGGGCUUGCGGAAGUCCAGGGGCAGACGGGAUGGGUCUCCCUGCUGAAACCCCCGGCGCUCCUGCCACGCUGGGCUGGGAUCAGAUGGGAAGCGGAAGCUCAUCAUGACCAGAAACUGUUUCCCUAUGGAGAGCACUUGGAGAUGGCAAUGCUGAACCUCACACUGUAGGACUCAUACACGACUCCAACGGGAUUGUUAGAAUCAAAUCACUCUCGUGGGAAGAAUUUUUAUAUGGGAAAGCGGAUAAAACUUUCAUUGGACUGGAAUGUUUGGAGAAUGUUAAAUUCCAAAUCAGGAACCACAAUCUGCCCUCUAAUAAGACAUCGGCUAUCUAAGCAUGUGGGUGCCCCCUUUCUGCCAGCAGUUCUGGUUCUUAAGAAAAUCACCAUAAAUCAGACAUGAAAAUUCUGGCUCCAAAAAUAGCAUUUUCUUUGUGCAAAUAAAAACGUGUGUAUCAAGUA